rnacentral:lncRNA from 1 species
CAUGGCACAUCCUUUGUCCCUUUACCCUGGGAAAGAAAACUCACCAGUCCAGGUUCCUGUUGUCUGUUUUAGGGCUACCUUCGGACUGUCUGGGCAGCACAAGUCUGAUAUGGGGACAGCUUCGGUCCGGGGUCCAUUCUUCGAUAUAUUGACUUUUUGCAGUGAGGUCCCAGCCCAGGGCCAGGGCCCCUGGGCACAUACUUUGGUCAUUUUCCCUUGGAAAGAAAACUCACCAGUCCAGUUUCCUGAUGUCAGUUUGUAGGGCUUCCUUGGGUCUAUCAGCGCAGUACAAGUUUGAGGUGGGGAAAAUUUCGGUUGGGGGUCGAUCGUUUGAUAUAUGGAGUUUUUGCAUUCAGGCCCCAGCCCAGUGCCAGGGGCCCCAUGGCACAUCCUUUGGCCAUUUUCCCUGGGAAAGAAAACUCACCAGUACAGGUUCCUGAUGUCAGUUUGUAGGGCUUCCUUGGGUCUAUCAGGACAGCACAAGUUUGAGGUGGGGACAACUUCGGUCUCGGUUCCAUCCUUCGAUGUACUGACUUUUAUGCAGUCAUGUACCACCCCACGGCCAGAAGCCCCUAGGCACAUCCUUUGGCCAUUUUCCCUGGGAAAGAAAACUCACCAGUUCAGGUUCCUGAUGUCAGUUUGUAGGGCUCCCUUGGGUCUAUCAGGGCAGCACAAGUUUGAGGUGGGGACAACUUCGGUCUGGGGUCCAUCCUUCGAUAUAAGGAUUUUUGGCAGUCAGGUGCCAGCCCAGGGCCAGGGGCCACUAGGCACAUCGUUUGGCCAUUUUCCCUGGGAAAGAAAACUCACAAAUCCAGGUUCCUGAUGUCAGUUUGUAGGGCUCCCUUGGGUCGAUCAAGGCAGCAAAAGUUUGAGGUGGGGACAAUUUCGGUUGGGGGUCGAUCGUUUGAUAAAUGGAGUUUUUGGAGUCAGGUGCCAGCCCAGGGCCAGGGGCCCCUAGGCACAUGCUUUGGCAAAUUUCCCUGGGAAAGAAAACUCACCAGUUCAGGUUCCUGAUAUCAGUUUGUAGGACUUCCAUGGGUCUAUCCGGGCAGUACAAGUUUGAGGUGGGGACAACUUCGGUCUCGGUUCCAUCCUUCGAUGUAUUGACUUUUAUGCAGUCAGGUCCCACCCCACGGCCAGAUGCCCCUAGGAACAUCCUUUGGCCAUUUUCCCUGGGAAAGAAAACAUAAAACUUCAAGUCCCUGUUGUCAGUUUGUAGGGCUCCCUUGAGUCUAUCAGGGCAGCACAAGUUUGAGGUGGGGGCCAAUUUAGUCUGGGGCACAUCCUUUGAUGUAUGGACUUUUUGCAGUCAGGUCCCAGGCCAUGGCCUGGGCCCCUGGGCACAUCCUUUGGCCAUUUUCCCCGGGAAAAAAAACUCACCAGUCCAGGUUGCUGAUGUCAGUUUGUCGGGCUCCCUUGGGUCUAUCAGGGCAGCACAAUUUUGAGGAGGGGACAGCUUCAGUCUUGGGUCCAUCCUUCGAUAUAAGUAUUUUUGGCAGUGAGGUGCCAGCCCAGGGCCAGGGGCUCCUGGGCAAAAUCGUUGGCCAUUUUCCCUGGGAAAGAAAACUCACCAGUCCAGGUUCCUGAUGUCAGUUUGUAGGGCUCCCUUGGGUCUAUCAGGGCACCACAAGUUUGAGGUGGGGACAACUUCGGUCUUGGGUCCAUCCUUCGAUAUAAG